CACAGGACCGUCUUAUUAAUUAGACGAAACCUCGAAAUCAUCAUUGAUCCAAGUGAUUUGGUCUACAAAUUGUAAAUUUAACUAAAACCCAAAAGGCAAAAACUUCAAAGUAGCCUCUAAUCAUCAAUGGCGGAAUCAAAAGUUGCAGAGGAGGGAGGAUCUGUAACACCGAAGAAGGGGCCAAAAUGCUUUUGCAGUUUACCAGGUUAUAUCGAGGAGACACCAGGAGGAGGAUGCUGCGUUUGCAAUCCAGAUUUAGCCCCCGAUUAUUCUUAUUACCUCUCUGAUGAUGAUGAUUUGCCUGAAGAUCAUCGCCUUGCUCUUGAACAAAUUCGGUUGAAUUACCACCAUCAGUCGAAAAAAUCCAAUGUUUGCUUCCUUCCUUUCUUUUUUUCUCUUAUUAAAGUUCUGUCGUUCAAUUUUUGGUCAAGCCUUUGAUUUGAUUCGUCUGCUUUAUUUAUAUUUCAUGCCUUCAUACUUUUUUUUUUGAGCCUAUGAUUCAUCGUAUGCUAAACUCUGUUAUUUCUAUUCAUUUUUGCCCCUGAUAAUAGGUUUCCAUUCUCCAUGAAUAUGAUUAAGACAAAUGUUUAUUUUUAAUUAUGUUUUUGGAAGGAAUUGUUUGGGUCUCUUUGGCAUCAAUUCUUCGAUCCCAACUGUUUGGCCCCCUUUUCCCUUUUAACUAAGUGACUGGUCGGUUCCAACUACAUUAUUUUAGCUUCCUGUGUUUGAAUUUGUUUGUUUUAAUUUGGAUAGAUUUGUCCAAUUCCAUUAUGAUCCCUCUUCUUUCUUCCAGUUUGGCGGAUAGGUUUCACCGCUGUUGGCUUGUUUGACAGGGUUUUGAAUUUGUUGACUAUCCCGGUCAGGCGGUCAUGAUGUUCCAAUAACAUCAUAUUUGGAUUUCAAGAUCCAUAACGACUAUGGGGUACUGAUUGAACUGGCUAACCGUGCUAUCCAAGAGUAUAAUGAGAAAGAGUGCAAUGUUUUCAAGUACAAGUUCUUGAAGAUUGAGAAAGUGUAUUUUAUAUCGUUGCGAUGGGAACAAUUUUUAAUGACUGUUAGAGUCUUAAAUCUCACUCUUCCUACUCCUAUUGAAACUUUUCAAAUCCAUGUUGCUAUAAGAAUCCCUGAUGGUAUCAAAUAAGUCAUUUGUUGCGGGCCAAAAGGAGUGGAUCCGGUUAUUGGUCCGUUUGCCAAGCCGAUUAGAGAUGAUUGGCCUCCGGAGCGGAUCCAGGAGUACAAGAGAAUACGCAAUGCGUUACUACAAUGAUGUUGAUCUAGAAUUUGAAUUUGAUCAGGUACAACUAGGAUUGUCCUUCGAGGAAAGGAAAAGGCAUUUGAAUUAUAGCUAAUUUAAUGUUAGAUUGUUUUAGAUUUCAUCAUUUGCAGUCUCAAGCGUUUUACUUUGA